rfam:Gossypium hirsutum cultivar TM-1 chromosome 18, whole genome shotgun sequence
CCUAAGGAUUUUCUCAAAUCCACUAAUUUGACAAUCUUUAAGGAAA